rnacentral:lncRNA from 1 species
UACUGGGUGGACCAUUGUAAUCUGAACACUUAGUAAUUCAAUAAUAAAUUAAGGUUGAGUGAAUGAAAUUAAUUAAUAUCUCUUGAACGUCAACAGGACCACAUUUUCUAAGUUUGAAACGUUGUAGAGAAAGUGGGCUCUGUCAAAAAGGCCAAACUGGAUCUGGAUGAGUUAAAGGAAACAGAUCAGGUCAAUCCCCUCAAGUCCAUGAGGGUGUUGUUAAGAGAUCUAGGGGUUUCACACUAGACUGUACAGAGAACUAUCAAGAAAAUUGGCUGAAAGAGCCUAGUAAUGGAAGAGAAGCUACUUCUGACACCACCACUGAACGAAACCCAUUACCGCCGUUGUAAGAAUUUUUGAAUGAGACUUUGAAGUUCAUUUCAACUCUUUUUUACCAGACCCCUCCAUAAGCACCUAAAAGUUGUGAUCGAGAUGAAGGUCUGAGUGUCUGCCAUACAAACACCAAGGUCCUCAAGGAAUUUUCAGCCUCCACUGGGACGCCAUGGCCACUGUGAUUAACUCUGCAACGUGUGCAUGCCCUUCUUCCACCCACUGGAAGUCAACAUUGCCGCUAUGGGGUGCAACUUUAAUGAUUAAGAGUACUCAGACACACAUCUAUUUAUAGUGUUCAAAUUUUAAUGGAACAUUCGGUACAGUAUCGAAUGCCACAGCAAAGCUGUGGUUCCAAUUAUUCCGUUUUGGUAAUAUGGACGUCGAAAAUGUUGAUAAUAUAAUGGAAAUCGACCAAUUAUACCAAAAUUGUCGUGGACACAAAUCAUCGUCACAGUGCAACGUCAUUCCUACUCUGUAAAUUAAAUUUUCUUUUUAUCCAGAGCAACUGUCGCGAUACUCAAAUCUUCAAUAAAGUUUUUUGAAUAUGUAACUAUA